rnacentral:rRNA from 1 species
GACGAACGCUGGCGGCGUGCUUAACACAUGCAAGUCGAAUGGAAAGGCCCUGCUUUUGUGGGGUGCUCGAGUGGCGAACGGGUGAGUAACACGUGAGUAACCUGCCCUUGACUUUGGGAUAACUUCAGGAAACUGGGGCUAAUACCGGAUAGGAGCUCCUGCUGCAUGGUGGGGGUUGGAAAGUUUCGGCGGUUGGGGAUGGACUCGCGGCUUAUCAGCUUGUUGGUGGGGUAGUGGCUUACCAAGGCUUUGACGGGUAGCCGGCCUGAGAGGGUGACCGGCCACAUUGGGACUGAGAUACGGCCCAGACUCCUACGGGAGGCAGCAGUGGGGAAUAUUGCACAAUGGGCGGAAGCCUGAUGCAGCAACGCCGCGUGCGGGAUGACGGCCUUCGGGUUGUAAACCGCUUUCGCCUGUGGCGAAGCGUGAGUGACGGUAAUGGGUAAAGAAGCACCGGCUAACUACGUG